UAUGAAUUCUGAUUAGGCGUAAUUGGGAAGAUUUGGGGGGUACAUUUUAAUCUGGCCUUAUUCAAAAUUGAACUCCUUCUUUCAUUUUUCGUUAGAUUAUUCCAAAACAGGGGGGAGAAUUCGUGCAUAACACGAAUUUCAUUAGAGACCAUGUUGAUUAUACAAAAUUAAGGAGUUCUUAAAGGGAGAAUUAUUUCAAAUUGGGGUUAAAUUAAAACCUUCUUUCAUUUUUCGUUUGGUUGACAUCGUCGACAUCCUAUACGAUAUUGCAAUGGCGCGGUGUCCAAAGUACAGACGCCAUCAGCGCAAUGAGAGGAGGAGGAGACGGUCUGGUUCUACGACGGUUGAUCAAAAACCCACGAGGGGCAUCCAUCCAUCCAUCCAUCCAUCCAUCCAUCCAUCCACGACACGAAGCGUUUCGUGGAGCAAAAUGAACCAAUAGCCGCUGUCGUCGCACAUCAUGCAGCACAUCAUGCAGCACAGGAAAUGCCGUCCAGCAACCUCCCCGUUAGGCCCAACUGCCUUCCUGUAUAGCAGUAGGACCCCUCCUUGUACAGCAUUGGGGCAAGGAAGACCGUGAGCGCCUUUGUGAAUCGAGUGACCGUGGAACAAAGAGCAGGCAUCUAUCGACCAAGUCCUUUGUAUGUAUUCAAUAAAGAUGUUUCAGUGAAAGAACA